rnacentral:lncRNA from 1 species
UUCUUUUUGCAAUGAGUAAAAAUUACAGAAAGCAGGUUAUGCAGGGCCAUACAAGUGAAAGUGUCUAAGUAUCAAUGAUUGAUGUCAUUACAGACUAACCUAAUAAUAAUAGGCUUAACCUUGUUAGCUUCAAGAAAAAUUUUCUGUUCAUGUAUGCAAUAUUUUUUUUUGAGUAGAAAAGAAUUGCAUCUAUUUUUACUCAGCAGUGAUAUCUCCUUAAUUUGUUAGAAUGCAUCUACUACUAUUUUUCUAAAUAUACUAUUAUAAAAACAUUUAUGGGCCAAGAUAAGAAAUAUAGUUUUGAUAAUGACACAUGAUAAAGUUCAAUAAUUGCAAAGGACUCAUCAUGAACCCAUCUUCUUUCACAUCGCAAAAUUAACUCUAUUUUGUCUUCAUUAGUCCAAACUUCCUUCUUAAGGAAAUAGUGUCCUAUUUAAUGUAACUAACCUAAGACUUAAUAUAAAAUUAAUGCCAUUCGACAGUACACAAUAGACAAUCUCUUCCAUUCCUCUCGUCCUCAAACACAAGAAGAGAUUAUAGAAAUAAAGAGUUAGAGACCCUUAAGACCCUUGCAGGCUCUAAUGGUGCACCGGGUUUGGGUUGGGUCACAGCAUAGGAAACUCAAAAUUGCCCAAAAAUCAAACGGGUCAGGUCAGAAUUUAGUAAACCUAGACUCGACCCAGAAAAUGGAACGGGUCCAAUUUUAGAACCCAACCCGACCCCAUGUAUCAUUUAAAUCGGGUCGAAUUGGGUCUAAGUGGGUCAGGCCGGGUCAAGUCACGGAUCAACUCGACCCAUUUGCAGCCUUAUCAGUGAUAAUGAGAUUAGUAAAAUCUUUAAAAAUCAGAUGGGCUUUUGUUGCUCAGCUAUGCAGCCCAAGAGAGGGGGAAUUGGAUUUUUCAAAAACUUUUAGCUAAUAAUGCAGUGGAAUAAAAUUUGAUAGAAGAAUAUAGAUUUUUGCAGCAAACUAAUAAGUAAACAUGCUGAAGAUAAAUGCAUGUAAAAAAAUUAAUGUAAACACAAAAAUUUAUAAUAGUUUGGUGCCAACUUUGUACCUACGUCUACUCUUUAAGACUUUGUUCUUGAAAAUUUUACUAUAAUCUUUCCUAAAUUAUAGCCCGAUUGUUUUACAUGGUAUCACAAUCAAUCUAGUUGAUUUUUUUAGAAAAUCAACCAAAACUAUAUCUGUUGUUUUACUCGAGCUCACAAUCAAUCUAGUUUAUUUUCUCAGAAAAUCAAAUAAAACCUUCUCUGAGCCUAUUCCAGCCUCAACACAAUCCAAUUCAAGGUUUGAAUUUACUCGGGCUCACAAUCAGCCCAGUUUAUUUUCUUAAAAAAUUAACCAAAAUCUUCUCCGAGCCUAUCCCAGCCUCAACACAAUUCAAUUCAGGGUUUGUAUGGACUUUUUUUGAAGUUUCAAUUCUUGAAACUUGUUAUAGUAGAGUAUAGAAAGAAUUAAGUGCAAAUACAAUGAAAACAACUCCAAGACAAUAAAUACAAAACAAUAAAUGGAGCUUGACUAUGUUGGUUGGCUUUAAUUGCUCUUGAAGGUGCUUCACAAACUUUCGGAUGUUGAAGAUGCUAUCUUUCAGCUCAUAUUAAAAGCUUUUGAAUGAUGUUCUCUUUGGAGUAAGGUCAGUGAAAUCGUUUCGAAUCGGGCGGUUCCGGCCGCUUCGAGCCAUACUGGUGGUUCAUCGGUACGAUUCCGGUAACGAAAAAGAGACCCAUUGCCGGAGCCAGAGAAGGAAAGAGAGAGCAAGCAGGGGAGGGAGGGAGAGUGAGAGGUCAGGAGGGCCGGCGGAGACCGUGGCAGGCAAGGUUGAAGCCGGUUCUCCUGUUUCGAACAAAACAGGGUUCGACUGCAACUUAAAAAAUUUCGCAAUUUGUCGACUUUACGUAAAAAUUGCAAAAUUUUUUAAGCUGCGGUCGGACUCUUAUUUCGAACGAAAUAGGAGAACUGGCUGCGACCUCGCCAGCCAUGGCCUUCGCUGGCCCUCCGCCAACCUCCCUCUCUCUCUCCCCCUUCUCUCUCUCUUAUUCUCUUCCACAGUACCGUGCCCUCUGUCGUUACAGGCCCGGCAUGGCCCGUACCAACUCGUGCUGCUGAAGAACUGGUAUGGUGCCCGGUACCGGUUUCUCUGAUCUUGCUUUGAAGUUCUUUCUUUUUGCUUUCUUUUUCUUGAUUUUGUGGAUUUUUCUUUGUAGUGCUUGAGCUCUCUUAUUCUUUGGGUGUUCCCAUGUAUUUAUACUAUUUGGAAGAGCUUGGAACACUAUCCUAGCCGUUAAACAGGUAAAAGAGCCGUUGUGACAUGAAAACAACCAUUCUGAUUCACAGAAAAAUUAGUUGUUACUGUUGUCAAGCAUAGAGGGGUCGAGUCGCCAUUUUCUAUGGUCGAGUCAAUAUUUUCAUGAGUUGAUUCGUGAUCUUCUGGGGUCGACUCUUUAAUGGACUAAAGUUUGCAAAUCUCAGUCUUUCCACUAUGGCUAUUUAGGGUCGACUCAUUAUUUUCUGGGGUUGAUUCUUAUUUGACUAAAGUCGGCUCGUGAUUUUUAUGGGUCAACUCGCCAAUGUGAUGAAUUGUUCAGCUUUCUGUCUUUUCUCUAUGGCCAUCUAGAGGUCGACUUAUUUGUUUCUGGGGUGGACUCUUGUUGGACUGGAGUUGGCUCGUAUUCUUCAGGUGUCGACUCAUCAAUAUGAUGAAAACCACAACUUUAUGUUUGUCUUCUGAGAAUGAUCUGGAGUCGACUCGCAAUCUACUGGAGUCGGUUCGUAAAGGCGUAUCAGUCAACGAUAGUGUGCUAUGGUUGACUUGUUGCAAACUUGUGGUCAACUCUUGAGUUAGCUUAGAAUGAAAUUCUGUCUUUGCAAGUGAGCUUCCAAGGAUUGUUUUUAUGUUCUUUUGGAGUAGUUCUUCUUGAUAUGAAGCUUUAUAUAGGUGAUCCUUUUUCGAGAGUAACUGAAAGCUUUCUUAUUUGUUUUCUGAAAUCAAUCAAUUAAACUCAAAGCAAUAGAUUAGUUAACUUUUCACUCAACUGUUUCAUAUCAUCGAAAUCAAUCCUUUAGGGUCAAUAGGUUUGUAACAAUACUCCUAUCACAAGAAAAAAGAACUAACAAUUCUAGUAGGACCAAAAAUUUGAAAAAUUUGAAACUGGCUGAAAUUGAAUAGAAUUGGCUGAAACCGACUGAAUCUCAGUGAAAUCAAAAAAAAUUGGUCGUUUUAGAAUUGGUCUAGAUCAUAACUGAUCUGCUUCAAUUGAAACUUAAAACCUUGGUAUAAGAGGAACAGGAGACUAUGAUAGAUGAGAAGAAAGUAGGAAAAGGGAGAGUUCCAGUGGAAUCCACAAGUAGAUUCAAAAAACUACAGAAAGCAGGUUAUGUAGGACCAAGUCGGAUCUAGGUCGGAUUCGAGUCGGAUUUUUGUACUUGUCAUUUUUUGUACUAGGUUCCUUUUACAACAAGUAAAAACUACAAAAAGCAGGUUAUGCAGGACCAUACAAGUGAAAGUGUCUAAGUAUCAAUGAUUGAUGUCAUUAUAGACUAACCUAAUAAUAAUAGGCUCAACCUUAUUAGCUUCAAAAAAAAAUUUAUGUUCAUAUAUGCAAUAUUUUUUUUGAGUAGAAAAGAGUUGUAUCUAUUUUUACUCAGCAGUGAUAUUUCCUGAAUUUGUUAGAAUGCAUCUAUUACUAUUUUUCUAAUUAUACUAUUAUAAAAAUAUUCAUGGGCCAAGAUAAGGAAUAUAGUUUUGAUAAUGACACAUGAUAAAGUUCAACAACUGCAAAGGAUUCAUCAUGACCCCAUCUUCUUUCACAUCGCAAAAUUAACUCUAUUUUGUCUUCAUUAGUUUAAACUUCCUUCUUAAGGGAAUAGUGUUCCCAUUUAAUGUAACUAACCUAAGAUUUAAUAUAAAAUUCAUGCCAUUUGACAGUACACAAAAGACAAUCUCGUCCAUUCCUCUCAUCCUCAAACACAAGAAGAGAUUAAAGGAAUAAAGAGUUAAAGACCUUUAAGCACCCUUGCAGGCUCUAACGGUGCACGGGUUUGGGUCAGGUCACAGCGUAGGAAACUCAAAAUUGCCCCAAAAAUCAAACGGAUCAGGUCAGAAUUUAGUAAACCUAGAUCCGACCCAGAAAAUAGAACGAGUCCAAUUUUAAAACCCAACCCGACCCUAUGUAUCCUUUAAAUCGGGUCAAGUCACGGGUCAACUCGAUCCAUUUGCAGCCUUAUUAGUGAUAAUGAGAUUAGCAAAAUCUUUAAAAAUCAGAUGGGAUUUGUUGCCCAGCUAUGCAACCCAAGAGAGGGGGUGAAUUAAAUUUUUCAAAAACUUUUAGCUAAUAAUGCAGUGGAAUAAAAUUUGAUAGAAGAAUAUAGAUUUUUCCAGCAAACAAAUAAGUAAAUAUGCUAAAGAUAAAUGCAUGUAAAAAAAUUAACACAAACACAAGAAAUUUAUAAUGGUUUGGUGCUAACUCUGCACCUACGUCUACUCUCUAAGACUUUCUUCUUGAAAAUUUUACUAUAAUCUUUUCUAGAUUACAGCCCGAUUGUUUUACACGGGACACAAUCAACCUGGUUGAUUUUUUUAGAAAAUCAACGAAAAUCUAUAUCUAUUGUUUUACUCGGGCUUACAAUCAAUCUAGUUUAUUUUAUCAGAAAAUCAAGUAAAACCUUCUCCGAGCGUAUCCCAGCCUCAAUACAAUCCAAUUCAAGGUUUGGAUUUACUCGGGCUCACAAUCAACCCAGUUUAUUUUCUCAGAAAAUUAACCAAAACCUUUUUCGAGCUUAUCCCAGUUUCAACACAAUCCAAUUCAAGGUUUGUAUGGACCUUUUCUGAAGUUUCAAUUCCUGAAACUUGUUGUAGUAGAGUAUAGAAAGAAUUAAGUGCAAAUACAAUGAAAAUAACUCCAAGACAAUAAAUACAAAACAAUAAAUGGAGCUUGACUGUGUUGGUUGGCUUUGAUUGCUCUUGAAGGUGCUUUACCAACUUUCAGAUGUUGAAGAUGUUAUCUUUCAGCUCAC